GACGAACGCUGGCGGCGUGCUUAACACAUGCAAGUCGAACGGAAAGGCCCCUUUGGGGGUACUCGAGUGGCGAACGGGUGAGUAACACGUGAGUAACCUGCCCUUGACUUCGGGAUAACUUCAGGAAACUGGGGCUAAUACCGGAUAGGAAUCCUUGCUGCAUGGUGGGGGUUGGAAAGCUUCGGCGGUUUUGGAUGGACUCGCGGCUUAUCAGCUUGUUUGUGGGGUAGUGGCUUACCAAGGCUUUGACGGGUAGCCGGCCUGAGAGGGCGACCGGCCACAUUGGGACUGAGAUACGGCCCAGACUCCUACGGGAGGCAGCAGUGGGGAAUAUUGCACAAUGGGCGGAAGCCUGAUGCAGCAACGCCGCGUGCGGGAUGACGGCCUUCGGGUUGUAAACCGCUUUCAGCAGGGGCGAAGCUUGUGGUGACGGUACCUGCAGAAGAAGCACCGGCUAACUACGUG
rnacentral:rRNA from 1 species